rnacentral:ncRNA from 2 species
CUCUUAUCGAGAGUUGGGCGAGGGAUUGGCCUUUUGACCCCAACAGCAACCGACCGUAAUACCAUUGUGAAAUGGGGCGCACUGAUUUUCGCGCCGAGACUUUUGUCUCUUUAAGGCACGGUGCUAAUUCCAUCAGAUUUAUCUGAGAGAUAAGAG